rnacentral:tRNA from 1 species
GACGUCCCGGCCGAGGAGGCCGUGCACGUGCUGUGCACGAUGAUGCGCCGGCUGGCGGUUCCGGGGCCGCCGGACGUCACC